UAGGGGGUGGUGAGAGCUGGAAGCCAAGAUGGUAUGGACAUGAGUAGCCUUAGAUAUUGAUUGAUUGAUGGUAUUGUGGGCAUGAAAUCAGAGUCCCUAGUUAGAUGCCUAACGAGUCGUUUCUCAGGCUUGGCUCUUGCCUUGCCGUGUAUGGAGACAACAUCAUGGAUGCGUUAUUGGUGAUCCUAGUCUAAAGCAUGGCAUGUUGCCCACAGUGCUGUGGGGACUUGUUGUGCCUAGGACAUGGUGAUCCGGUGUGCGAAAAUGAUGGGGACCCUUUUUGAUGAAACUGGUGGCGUUGUGGGCCUCGCAAUGCCAUUGUUGCUUGCUUGCCAGAUGAUCCUCAAACGAAGCAUUACUCGUCACACAAGCCUGGCUAGUGACUUGUUUUGAGUUGCUCAAGGUGACACCGGUUGGCAAGACGAGGCACGUAGGAAUUGUUUUCUAGGUGUAGGCAUUUGCCUUCCCGGGUAACUAACACAACGUCAUCAGGGAAUGUUGCUUGUGUAUCCUAGUUUGAGGCAUGACUUGUUUCCCAUGGCGGUGUUGGGGCUUGUCUUGCCGAGGACAUGUUGAUUCGAGCAUGCCGAAGCUGACGGUGACCCUUUNNAUGAAACUUGUGGCGUUGUGAGCCUCGYAAUGCCAUUGUUGCGUGCUYGNCUGGUGAUCCUUGAACGAAGCAUUACUCGUCACGCCAGCCNGGCUAGUGACUUGUUUUGAGUAGGUCGGGGUGACACGGGUUAGCAUGAUGAGGCAUGUAGGAAUUGCUGCCUUCCUGGGCAACUAAGACAACGUCACGAAGGAAUGUUGCUUGUGUAUCCUAGUUCGUGGCAUGACUUGUUUCCCAUGGCGGUGUUGGGGCUUGUCUUGCCGAGGACAUGUUGAUUCGAGCAUGCCGAAACUGACGGUGACCCUUUCGAUGAAUCUUGUGGCGUUGUUAGCCUCGUAAUGCCAUUGUUGCAUUCUUGCUUGGUGAUCCUUGAACGAAGCAUUACUUGUCACAUAAGCUCGACUAGUGACUUGUUUUGCUAAGGUCAUGGUGACACGGGUAGCAUGAUGAGGCAUGUGGGUAUCGUUGGCUGUUAUUCUCUCGCAUCGUUCGGUGCAUCCUGGGAGCUGUUCGGACUUUUGGCUGCUUUCUUGGCUCGAAUGCCUGGUGGGUGGCUAAUUGUUAGGUGGUUUUCGGGGAUGAUUACCGUAAAGGUGCAUGAGUGGUGUUUGGUUUGUUACCGGUGGUUGGCUCUUUGCUUCUGCAACAACUUCCACCUGGCAUUCCUCUUCGUUUUUGCUUCAAGGUUGCAUUUCUUUGAGCGCUUAUGGUUCCUGUUUUGCCUACCUAUGUGACGGUAUCGAAUGAUUAAAUCAAAGUCGUGUUUCAUCAUGUGUCGUUUGUAUGGCGUAGGAUGAACCUCAAAGCAACUUCUAUGAUUCACCUUGUUGAUGCAUAUGCAUCGAUGUUGUGGCUCAUUGAGUUUUGCUUGGUUUUCUGGAUACAAAACAUGAUAUGGGUGUUGGUCUUAUGYGAUCCAUUUUUUGCCCUUGUUGAACGUUGUUAUUACUCUGAGAUGACUGUCUAUCCCGAAUUGGCUCGUACCACCGGGGUAGGUUAUGUUGUUGAAGAGCAAUACUAGUGUUCUUGCUUCUCUAAAAUAGACAGCCUCACCUACCAACGGGUGGGCUAUGUCGAAGAG
rnacentral:misc_RNA from 1 species